UUGAAACACCAGUUCUUGUAUGAUCACUGAAGUUAAGCAACAUUGAGCCUGGACAGUACCUAGAUGGGUGACUGUUUGGGAUUACUAGAUGCUGUAU